UACGUAGGGGGCAAGCGUUGUCCGGAUUUAUUGGGCGUAAAGAGCGUGUAGGCGGCUUUGCAGGUCCGCUGGGAAAACUCGAGGCUCAACCUCGAGCUGUCGGUGGAAACCGUAAAGCUAGAGUCCGGAAGAGGAGAGUGGAAUUCCCGGUGUAGCGGUGAAAUGCGCAGAUAUCGGGAAGAACACCCGUGGCGAAGGCGGCUCUCUGGGACGGUACUGACGCUGAGACGCGAAAGCGUGGGGAGCGAACAGG
rnacentral:rRNA from 1 species